UUUGAUCCUGGCUCAGGAUGAACGCUAGCUACAGGCUUAACACAUGCAAGUCGAGGGGCAGCAUGGUCUUAGCUUGCUAAGACUGAUGGCGACCGGCGCACGGGUGAGUAACACGUAUCCAACCUGCCGUCUACUCUUGGACAGCCUUCUGAAAGGAAGAUUAAUACAAGAUGGCAUCAUGAGUCCGCAUGUUCACAUGAUUAAAGGUAUUCCGGUAGACGAUGGGGAUGCGUUCCAUUAGAUAGUAGGCGGGGUAACGGCCCACCUAGUCUUCGAUGGAUAGGGGUUCUGAGAGGAAGGUCCCCCACAUUGGAACUGAGACACGGUCCAAACUCCUACGGGAGGCAGCAGUGAGGAAUAUUGGUCAAUGGGCGAGAGCCUGAACCAGCCAAGUAGCGUGAAGGAUGACUGCCCUAUGGGUUGUAAACUUCUUUUAUAAAGGAAUAAAGUCGGGUAUGCAUACCCGUUUGCAUGUACUUUAUGAAUAAGGAUCGGCUAACUCCGUGCCAGCAGCCGCGGUAAUACGGAGGAUCCGAGCGUUAUCCGGAUUUAUUGGGUUUAAAGGGAGCGUAGAUGGAUGUUUAAGUCAGUUGUGAAAGUUUGCGGCUCAACCGUAAAAUUGCAGUUGAUACUGGAUAUCUUGAGUGCAGUUGAGGCAGGCGGAAUUCGUGGUGUAGCGGUGAAAUGCUUAGAUAUCACGAAGAACUCCGAUUGCGAAGGCAGCCUGCUAAGCUGCAACUGACAUUGAGGCUCGAAAGUGUGGGUAUCAAACAGGAUUAGAUACCCUGGUAGUCCACACGGUAAACGAUGAAUACUCGCUGUUUGCGAUAUACUGCAAGCGGCCAAGCGAAAGCGUUAAGUAUUCCACCUGGGGAGUACGCCGGCAACGGUGAAACUCAAAGGAAUUGACGGGGGCCCGCACAAGCGGAGGAACAUGUGGUUUAAUUCGAUGAUACGCGAGGAACCUUACCCGGGCUUAAAUUGCAGAUGAAUUACGGUGAAAGCCGUAAGCCGCAAGGCAUCUGUGAAGGUGCUGCAUGGUUGUCGUCAGCUCGUGCCGUGAGGUGUCGGCUUAAGUGCCAUAACGAGCGCAACCCUUGUUGUCAGUUACUAACAGGUUCCGCUGAGGACUCUGACAAGACUGCCAUCGUAAGAUGUGAGGAAGGUGGGGAUGACGUCAAAUCAGCACGGCCCUUACGUCCGGGGCUACACACGUGUUACAAUGGGGGGUACAGAGGGCCGCUACCACGCGAGUGGAUGCCAAUCCCCAAAACCUCUCUCAGUUCGGACUGGAGUCUGCAACCCGACUCCACGAAGCUGGAUUCGCUAGUAAUCGCGCAUCAGCCACGGCGCGGUGAAUACGUUCCCGGGCCUUGUACACACCGCCCGUCAAGCCAUGGGAGCCGGGGGUACCUGAAGUGCGUAACCGCGAGGAGCGCCCUAGGGUAAAACUGGUGACUGGGGCUAAGUCGUAACAAGGUAACCA
rnacentral:rRNA from 1 species